AGCCGAAGGAUCGGCCAGCCGUCUAGAC
rnacentral:sRNA from 1 species